GAGAUGGGGCGGGCGGAGUGGUGCUGCCCGUGGGUCGGGGCCGGAGCGAUGGGCGCCGCACCUUUUCUCUCCCCUCUGCAGGUAAAGGCAACUACUGGACGCUGGACCCCAACUGCGAGAAAAUGUUCGAUAACGGCAACUUCAGGAGGAAGAGGAAGAGGCGUCCCGAGGCCGGAGACAGCGGUGGGGCUGCGGGGGGCCCCUGUGUGAGCGCAGCCCCCGGGCACGGCGAGAUGCACUGAGGUGGAGGAGGAAGGAGUGUUUUUGUGAUGUGUAACUCCCCCUGUUAGAUGCUGAAAGGAAUCACCAUGGGGUGAGCUGGAUGGGAGGCUGGCUUUUCCUCCCCCUUGACAAGAGCAGCCUGUCCCAGCCCUGCCUGCUGACCUCCUGCUCUGUGGAUGCCCGAGGUGCCUUCCUCUCCUCUGUCCAGGUGUGCAACAGCGCAGCAUCCUGUGAGACGUGCCCUGCUGUGACACACAAAGUGAUUUGCUGCUGGUUUUAUAUGGCUCAAGCUUCUGACAGCCUCCCAAACACACAGUAUAACCAAAAUCACACUGCAGUGCCAACCCAACCUGAUUUAGCCUACAGGAGUUUCUCUGCUCUCCACAAGGGGAACAUCAAUGCACACACAGCUGGAUGGCCCACACAGAGCAAGACUGAGUGUUUGCGAUGCAGUUAAACCAGAGCACGCUGGAGAUCUGGAACUUACACUAAUAUGCAAAGGAAAUAUUAGGAAUUGAUGGCUUGAAAUGAUUAUUCAUCCAGCUUGUGUUACGCUUCCUAUCUUCUGCUUUUCACAGAGUAGCACUGGCAACAAAUGACAACAGCUUUGGAGCACCAUUGAGAGAUGAAGCUGAAGGGUUAGGCUUUAUCCAGCCAGCUUUAGGCCACCAUUUCUUUACCCUCGGGCAGCACGUUGGGCAGUGCAGAAGAAGGGGCUGCUCACAGACAAUGGCCAUCUUUACAGAGAACAGCCAGGCGUGAUCUGCUGCUCAUCCCUGGCAGUUCUCCCCGAUGAGAGGCAUUGGGUGAGGCUGGGAGGGCACAGUGACCUCCUUCCCUCUCCCAGGGGUGCAAGCAAUUUCAGUUGCGUGCAAGCAGUGCCUGCGGGGCGUCUGCUGAGUUAAUGGGAGGAAUGGAAAAGCCUGGUGAGCUCCCAGCACCAACAGGACUGGCUGUGCAGCCCAGGCUGCAGGAGGUGGAGAGAGCUUUCAU
rnacentral:lncRNA from 1 species